rnacentral:ncRNA from 1 species
CUCUGGCUUAGUAAAUAAUCCAGGGCAAAAGGAG